GUAGGUAUAGCUCAGGGGUAGAGUGCGUGCUUGGCAUGCAUGAGGUCCUGAGUUCAAUCCCCGGUACCUCCA
rnacentral:tRNA from 1 species